UGAGCCGCCAUAAUGGAUUUUGGAGUUGCAUUUGUAAUAGUGCAACGAGCCAAGGUUGAAACAUUUAUAAGUGCUUCUGAAUCACUUGCAUCAUGUCCACCCACAGAAAGUUACAUUUAUGCCAAUGUAUUUUAUUCAUAAGUUAUUAAUGAGGUUUAGGUAUGUUCUGCGCUUGGAUAUCAUGAGGAAAUACAUGAAGCUUACUCGAGCCCUUUGUGCUGUGAAGAUUUAUGCAAAUACUAAAUUGUAAUAACGUGCAGCGUCCGCUGUUUUCAAAGGUUGGUUACGUCACCAAUGCUCCACUAGUGAGGCUUACAGGAACUACUGACUGGACCCCUUCCUACUGCUUGGAGUGAGGUCACAUUUUCUUUUGAUGAUGGUAGGAGGAGGAUUCAAACCCUUGUUUUAUCUUGGCUGGUGGGUUUGAAUGUGUUUAUCCUAAAGAGCUAUUCUUUGUGCCCCUUUUGCUGCAGAGUUUCAGUGGUUUUAACAACUCAUCUCUCCGUCCACACGUCAAAUAAAAGAGAGAGUCUUUCUGUUCAUCACUCUUCUGGGUCCUCCUCGACUUGCCCUUCCAGUCCUCGGUCUCGAUCACAGGGCCGACUCGGUCUUUGAUCAUGGGGUCAUUUGCUUGUUUCGCUAUGCCACCACGGGGUCCCACAGCAAAUAAAGAGGCGGUUUCCUAUUUUAGUUGCUGCUAUGACUGGGGGGGCAGAGUCGAACCCUCAAGCUUCUACUUUGCCUGAGUUGGCCAACCGGUUGAGUUUCCGAGUCUGACUGGCUAGUAAGCCGACCAGACGCAUUUAAUAUUAGCUUAAGGUCUGCAGACCCCUUAAAUAAAUGGCUUGGCCCCCUAUGACGGCUGGAGAGGACGGUGCUCGAAUCCUGCACCUACGCUUUUUAGCGGGCGAACUGAAUCGGCUCGUCUAUCUCAGUGAGCUAAUCCUCCUAAUAUCAUUGACAGAAUGGAGGGCGCUGCAAAUAAAUGGAGAGUUUACAUGUUAUGUGGGGCGAAAUCUAUGGGGUGAAGGCUGGGCUUCAGCUCAGGUUCGGGUCUGCCCCUUUAACCGGAGUGGUCGGUCUGUUUGAACCGCGUAGCCGGUUUGGGUCGCUGUCUUUUCACUGCCGGCCCCUUUAGCGGCGUACACUAUAAACUAUUUUUCUAAAGAGACUAUUUUCUAUAUUAAUACCCCUAUACUCGGGAGAGGAUUCGAACUCGCACAAUUCGUGCACGGGUGGUUUAUAUGAGUGGUCUACCCGGUUAUGCUACCUUAACUGACCCAUCACCCUGGCGGUCUGCCGUGCUUUAUACCAGCGGAGCCCUUAAAUAAACGUGUCCUGUACUACAUGCACCUGUAGCACGUAGGUUGAAUUAGCCCGUUUAUCGGGUGGAGCUAAUUCUCUACUGCGAAGUCUUUUAUAAUUGGAAGUUGGAGUGCACAGCAUGUAAACUGGCAAUUAAGAAAUAAUUUGAAGUAAAUCUUACAUGGUGGGUAUGGGGUCUUGAACCCGGGGCUUCCUUUUCGAACUGAGCGCUUAUCCUCCUGAGCUACUCGCCCACACCCUUUGGUCACCUCAACGUCUCUCAAGUGUGCGACACCGGAAGACUCAAAGGGCGCUCAGCAGGCACCGCGGGGACGAAAUCCGCUCGUUACUAUCUGUUAAUGUAAACCGAAUAACAACAGCAGACAGAGGUAAACAUUUUUCAAAUCCUAGCGUUUUACUUUUUAAAGGGGUCUGUAAAAGUCGCCCAGGAUAAAGGGAUCAGUCAAAUAAUAAAUAAUAAUACGCCCGUUGGGGUGCUUACAGAAGCUCAGUUUGAUAUUCCAUCCCUGUGGUUGUAUUAGCACUAAUACGGUAGGACCCUCAGUGAGUGAAUUCAACUGCCUGUGCUGCACUUGGAACAAAGUAAAUGUGCCAAUUGUGUCUCGCAUUGUGUGAAGAGUUCAGUAAAUAUUAACAAUUUAGGUUGCCGACUUUAAGGAUGAAGUCAAUAAGAAUGAGCUGAUUGAAGAACAGUAACCUGGCGCUUCUGUUUUUAAUCCAUUGUUCAUCUUUGUGUUUCAUAUAUUUAUGUUUAUUUACUGUUUUAUGUGGAUGUUGUUAUGUAUCCCAUUUUAUAUAUUCCCUGUUGUUUAUUUUGUAAAGCACUCUGAGCAUGGGGACGGCACUAUAUAAAUACAAUGUAUUAUUAUUAUUA